rnacentral:tRNA from 1 species
CCGCCGGCGGUUUGAGGGGCGGCCUUCAAACCGAUGUUGCGCGC